rnacentral:rRNA from 1 species
UACCUGUGAAGAUGCAGGUUACCCGCGACUGGACAGAAAGACCCCAUGGAGCUUUACUGUAACCUGAGAUUGGAUUCCGGUAAGAGAUGUACAGGAUAGUUGGGAGGCUGAGAAACGGGUACGCCAGUAUCCGCAGAGCCGCUGGUGGGAUACCAACCUUGUUUUAUUGGGAUUCUAACGAGAGACGUAACGAGUCUUUGGACAGUCUCAGGCGGGCAGUUUGACUGGGGCGGUCGCCUCCGAAAGA